rnacentral:tRNA from 1 species
GCGGAUGUGGCGGAAUUGGUAGACGCAAUGGAUUUAGGUUCCAUCGCCUUACAGCGUGGGGGUUCGAGUCCCUUCAUCCGCACCA